rnacentral:misc_RNA from 1 species
CCAAUAGCGUAUAUUAAAGUUGUUGCAGUUAAAAAGCUCGUAGUUGAAUUUCGAGAUCAACUUGUUGGUCGUGCCUCGGUACGUACUGGCAUUAUUGAUUUCUCCCUUCUGAAGAACCUUGAUGUCAUUAAUUUGGUGUCUUGGGGAAUCAGGACCGUUACUUUGAAAAAAUUAGAGUGUUUAAAGCAGGCUCACGCUUGAAUACAUUAGCAUGGAAUAAUGAAAUAGGACGUUUGAUUCUAUUUUGUUGGUUUCUAGGAUCGACGUAAUGAUUAAUAGGGAUAGUUGGGGGCAUUAGUAUUCAAUUGUCAGAGGUGAAAUUCUUGGAUUUAUUGAAGACUAACUACCGCGAAAGCAUUUGCCAAGGAUGUUUUCAUUAAUCAAGAACGAAAGUUAGGGGAUCGAAGACGAUCAGAUACCGUCGUAGUCUUAACCAUAAACUAUGCCGACUAGGGAUCGGAUGAUGUUAAUUUUAUAAUGACUCAUUCGGCGCCUUACG